AAGUUCCUCACCAGAAGCAGAGGCUGGCACCAUGUUUGUUAUGCAGCCUGCAGAACCGUAGUGAGACGAGCAUGAGUGGAGCAGGAGACGGCUGUCCCCCACCCACAAGGAAUAUCAGAUGAUGGUUCAGCGAUCAUCACAUUGCCUCUCUGAAAGUGAUAAAUUGGCAGCUGGCACCAGGGAGAGGCUAUUUCCUGAUGGCCCACACCUGUUGCACUAAGAUGUUAAUCGAAUGCAGAUUCCAGGGAGAAACAACUUCCUGGGCAUGUGCGUAAGAGACAAAAUGGCAGUAAAAAUUAGAGAAUGAGAUCAGAAUAUGGAUACAUUGCAAGAGGUGGAGCCCUGGAACAAAAGUAAGAGUAAUACAGAUUAUGCAGUGUCACUCCCCAGACAUCUAUAAAGAUUUCUACUGAACAAGUCAGCCAUCGAAGCAGAUUAUUCACCAUCUGUGGUCAUCAAUUCCAAAGGAAUUUUUGUUUCUGGUAAUGGCCAAAUAAGCAUCUAUAUGAAUAUUUUCUACAGAUAAUAAAUAUAAACUGUGAACAAAUGUAAAAAGAAAAAAAAAAGACCAGCCAAAGGCACUGGAAAUGACCCUAAAAGAGCAUAUUCUGAAGAGUAGUCUACAAUAGAAAAGGGAAAAUGACACUGACUGAGUCUCUCAUUUACUUUAGCUGUUAGACUAAAGGCAGUUCUAAACCAUGCCAUGGAUAGUAGCCAAAACUGCGAUAGAAAGGGCAUUGUCUUUCUGAUUUUAAAGGUGUACUAGAAGAGAGAGUUUGGGACAACCAUAGCUGCUAGUAAGUGAGAAUACACACUGCACAGGAAAAGAGCCAGAAAAAGAGAAGGUCGCCAACUUGAAAUUAUAAACUGUGUCCAUGUUUUUAGAAUAAUGACUUUGUGGAUCUGACUCCAAGCAAGUCACCUAAGGAUAAAAUAACUGAAGCAAGACUUCAGCUGCCACACAAAGAUAGAUUUUGCAGAGGUGUGAUUUCAACCAAGUAAAUUACAUUACAGACUAAAUAGAAAUAAAAGAUUCAGAAGAAGAUUACAAAACUCAUGAUCUCCAAAAGAUAAUAUUCAUAAUUUCCAACAUGCAUCCUAAAUUACUCCAAAACAUGAAUAAAGAAGAAUGUUUUUUAUUCUCAAGAUAAAUGAAAAUCAACAGAGACUGACAGCAAAAUGACUCAGAUGUUGGAAUUGGCACAACAAAGAUUUUAAAGGAAUUAUGCUGAGUGAUGUAAAGGAAAAUAUGUUUGAAAUGAAUGAAAAAUUAAGAAAUCACAGCAAAGAGAUAGAAAUUAUAAAAAAUGACUACAUAAAGACAGUAAUAAGGUGUCUUUUCAAUUUAUAUGGAAGUACAAAGUUCUAGCAUAUUCAAAGCAAUUCUGAAAAAAAGCAUAGUUUAAAGCAAUUCUAAAAAAGAAUAGCAUAGUUUAACUAUAAUAAAUGUUUUCAAGAAUAUUAUAAAGCUAUAGGAAUCAAAAUAAUAUGGCAAUGAUGUAAAGAUUGAUUAGCAAAGCCAUAGAAUAAAAUUUGAAGCCCAGAAAUAGAUUUGCACAUAUUGGGGGGGUUAUUUAACUUUUUACGAAUAUAUUAAAGCAAUUCAAUGAAUGUGCAGGGAAGGAGUAAUUCACAUGCCUGGGUUGCUCAAACCCUGUAUAUUUCCCAUAAGCAUCUUUCUUCAGGGUGGGCCCUUGGCUGGCUCCUCAAAAAUGAGCUCCGAGGCUCUGGAAUAUUCUGCCUGAGAAGAGUGCUUCUGUAUGUCUGACACCUCCGUCCAUGUGGUAAAAAUAAUGUUCAAACUGUUUACACUAAUUAUGUGUUUUAUUGUGAACAACUGUUUUUGUAAGCCUGAGACUUUAGAUUACAAAGUACAAGUUUAAAUGGGUAGUUUUUGUUAACAAUGAGAUUUAUGGUAAGUGUAUGAGGAACUAAAAUCUCAACAGCUGAGGACAGUUAUACAGGUGCUGCAUGCCUACGUGACUGACCCCUAAUAAAACCUCUGAAGACCAAGGCAAGAUUGAGCUUCCUGACUGGAAAUACAUCACAUGUAUUGCCACACAUCAUUGCUGGGAUAAUAAAGCACAUCCAUAGGACUCCACUGUGGGAGGACACCUAGAAGCCCAUGCUUCAUGUCUUCUAGACUUUAUCCCAUGUACCUUUACAAUUUGCUAAUUUUAAUGUGUAUCUUUUCAUUGUAAAAGACACUAAACAUGGAGAUAGUAGGUUUUUCUGAGUCUAGAGAAUCUUCAUUCUCUAGAAUGAAGUGGUAGUGGUCAUGAGGAGUCUCUACCCAUAAAUAAAACAUAUUUUUAAUGAAUGAUACUGAAAUAACUAUAUUUAUAUGGAAAAAAUGAAUCUCCACCCAUAACUCACAAUAUACCUAAAAAUAAUUCAAAAUGAAUUAUUGACCGAAACAUAGAAGCUUAUACAAAAGAUUUUCAGAAUAAAAUAUGGAAGAAUGACUAUUUGACAUAGAGCUAGGCAAAGUUUUCUUAUAGGUAGAUAAGAUACAGGACAAAUGAUGACAUAUGGAAAAAAUGAUAUGUUUGACUUUACCAAAAACAAAUCAUCAGUGAAUCAAAAUACUCACAAAAUACAACUCCUACAGCAAAACAUUAUAAAGACAAACAACCUUUUAAAAUGGGAAAAAUGUUUGAACACACAUUUUAUACAUUAAGAUGUAUAAGUGGAUAAUAAACACAUAAAAACUGUUCAGCAUCACUAAGUAAGUAGGGAAUGGUACAUUAAAGCAACAUUGUGAUAUCAUUACACACCCUCUAGGAAUGGCUAAAAUUAAAAAGACUGAAAACAUCAAAUUUUGGCAAGGUUAGGGCCAAUUAAAAUUUUCAUACAUUGCUGGUAAAAAUGAAAAUGUCACAACCACUUUGGAAAAAAUUUUUAAAAUUUUUUACAAAACUUCAUAUAGAUCCAUUAUAUGACCCAACCAUUCUACUGCUAGACAUACACUCAAAAUGAAGAAACACGUACAAAAAGAUUUCUACAAGAAUGAUUUUAGCAGCUUCACAACAAACCAGGUGUUGGUCAAUAGGAAGAUGAAAAAUCAAAAUAUAGUAUAGCUAUAAAAUACAAUAAUAUUUAGGAUAAAAAUAAUAAAUGCAUGUUAUAACUAAUAAUAUCAUGACUGAAUCUCAAAAAUAUUUUGCUGAGUUAAACAAGCUUUGCACAAAGUAGUAUAUUAUGUAUGAUCCCAUGUAUAGAAAUAUCUAGAAUAAGGAAAAACAAAUUAUGAUAGAAAAGAUGUUGCUUCUGGUGAUUGGGUGGAGCUCUGAUGGACUGGGAAGGAGCAUGAGGGAGCUUUGUGGGUUGAUGGUAAUUUAUGUACCCUGACAGGGGUUUGGUUUACAUAGCUGUAUUCAUUUGUCAAAACUUAUAUUAAAUGGUGCAAUUAAUAUUGAUGCAUUUCAUUGUAUGUAAAUUUUACCCUAAAAUAAUUUUAGACAAAUUGUAAAACCUAGUUAAAGACAUAUAUGCUGAUAUUUUCAGGGUUACCUCUCUUGAUGUCUGCAACUUACUUUGAAAUGCUUCAAAAGGAAAAUAGGAUAAUGGAUGGAAAUAGGGAGAGAGAAAUGGAUCGAUGUGUAAAUAAAACAAAUCUAUCUAAAUGUUAAAGCUUAAUUGUAGAUGAUGAAUGUAGGAGUGUUGAAUGUUAAAUUCUUUCAACUUUUA
ensembl:lncRNA LINC02232 long intergenic non-protein coding RNA 2232